rnacentral:rRNA from 1 species
GUGAGGAAUUUUCCGCAAUGGGCGAAAGCCUGACGGAGCAAUGCCGCGUGAAGGAUGAAGGCCUAUGGGUUGUAAACUUCUUUUCUCAGAAAAGAAUUAUGACGGUAUCUGAGGAAUAAGCAUCGGCUAACUCUGUGCCAGCAGCCGCGGUAAGACAGAGGAUGCAAGCGUUAUCCGGAAUGAUUGGGCGUAAAGCGUCUGUAGGUUGUUUAAAAAGUAUUCUGUCAAAGAUUAGGGCUUAACCCUAGAUAGGCAGAAUAAACUUUUAAGCUAGAGUUUGGUAGAGGUAGAGGGAAUUCCCGGUGGAGCGGUGAAAUGCGUAGAUAUCGGGAGGAACACCAAAGGCGAAGGCACUCUGCUGGGCCAAUACUAACACUGAGAGACGAAAGCGAGGGGAGCAAAUGGGAUUAGAAACCCGUGUAGUCC